rnacentral:rRNA from 1 species
GACGAACGCUGGCGGCGUGCUUAACACAUGCAAGUCGAACGGAAAGGCCCUGCUUUUGUGGGGUGCUCGAGUGGCGAACGGGUGAGUAACACGUGAGUAACCUGCCCUUGACUUUGGGAUAACUUCAGGAAACUGGGGCUAAUACCGGAUAGGAGCUCCUGCUGCAUGGUGGGGGUUGGAAAGUUUCGGCGGUUGGGGAUGGACUCGCGGCUUAUCAGCUUGUUGGUGGGGUAGUGGCUUACCAAGGCUUUGACGGGUAGCCGGCCUGAGAGGGUGACCGGCCACAUUGGGACUGAGAUACGGCCCAGACGCCUACGGGAGGAAGCAGUGGGGAAUAUGGCACAAGGGGCGGAAGCCUGAUGCAGCAACGCCGCGUGCGGGAUGACGGCCUUCGGGUUGUAAACCGCUUUCGCCUGUGACGAAGCGUGAGUGACGGUAAUGGGUAAAGAAGCACCGGCUAAAUACGU